ensembl:misc_RNA Y_RNA Y RNA
GGCUGGUCUGAGUGCAAUGGUGUUUACAACUAGUUGAUCACAACCAAUUACAGAUUUCUUUGUUCCAUCUCUAAUCCCAUUGCUUCACUUAACUAACCUUAA